rnacentral:lncRNA from 1 species
UUUUUCAUUCUUUUUUUACUGUAAGAGUCAUUUUCUUUUCUAUUAUGGUCAUUGGGAUUAAAUUAAAUAUCUUUAAAUAUGGUGCAGUUGUAAUAAAAUUACAUUUUAAGAAAAAAUAUACAUGUAUAGACGUAAAAGAACACAAAUUAAUUCACACCAGUUUGAAGAUGAUAUGCAUGUCUUAGAUAAUUUAGAAACCUUUCAGUCCCAACUGCUUCUGAUUAAUAACCAUGCAUAUAUAUAGUCCAUGUAGUGAAAUGUCAAUUAUCUAGGAACUUUAUA